rfam:Coccomyxa subellipsoidea C-169, whole genome shotgun sequence.
GGGUGUUUAGCUCAACUGGUGGAGCAGCUCGCUCACAAUGAGAAGGCUAGUGGUUCGAGACCACUACUGACCA